rnacentral:rRNA from 1 species
CUUGACUAGCAAGAGUGACGGGCGAUUUGUGCAUAUUAAUUUUCUUUCUCAAUAUCAAUUUUUAUUUAUUUUAUUUUAAGAACAAGUCCUAUUUCCUAUGUGGCAUCCCUUAAUGAUCUUAUUUUUUUUAUCUUUGUAUCCCGCUAUUCUCUUAAGCAUUACCUCUGUCUUGAUUUAUAUUAUGAUCUUUUAUAUUUUUUGGAGGUGGUACUUCCUGGACACAAUGAUAUAGAGGGUAAUAGAUUAAGUGCAUUAGUAUCGUGGGCUGUCUAUUAUGUCGUAGGAUCCCCUGUGAAGAUUCAAUACCGCCAUCCCUCUUAGUUUCUUUUUCAUUAAAUACUCUCUUUACUUUUAGUAGAA